UACGUAGGUCCCGAGCGUUGCCCGGAUUUAUUGGGCGUAAAGCGAGCGCAGGUGGUUUAUUAAGUCUGGUGUAAAAGGCAGUGGCUCAACCAUUGUAUGCAUUGGAAACUGGUAGACUUGAGUGCAGGAGAGGAGAGUGGAAUUCCAUGUGUAGCGGUGAAAUGCGUAGAUAUAUGGAAGAGCACCAGUGGCGAAAGCGGCUCUCUGGUCUGUAACUGACGCUGAGGUUCGAAAGCGUGGGGAGCAAACAGG
rnacentral:rRNA from 1 species